CGUAGGAGACGAGCGUUAUCCGGAUUUACUGGGCGUAAAGCGUGUGCAGGCGGUUCGGCAAGUUGGAUGUGAAAUCUCCCGGCUCAACUGGGAGGGGUCGUUCAAAACUACCGAACUUGAGGUCAUCAGAGGAAGGUGGAAUUCCGGGUGUAGUGGUGAAAUGCGUAGAUAUCCGGAGGAACACCAGUGGCGAAGGCGGCCUUCUGGGAUGAUCCUGACGCUCAGACACGAAAGCUAGGGGAGCGAACGGGAUUAGAGACCCCGGUAGUCCUAGCUGUAAACGAUGAAGACUUGGCGUCGGAGGGUUCAAAACCUUCGGUGUCGUAGCUAACGCGGUAAGUCUACCGCCUGGGGACUACGGCCGCAAGGUUA
rnacentral:rRNA from 1 species